rnacentral:lncRNA from 1 species
GAGACAGAACGUUCCGGAACCUUCCAGAACCUUCCAGGAGCGCUGGGUGCGCUACCUCACACACAGCGACUCCUAUGUGCUGCGAUUGUGAGACAGAACCUUCUGGAACCUUCUGGAACCUUCUGGAACCUUCCAGAACAAACCCUGACCCACAGCGACAGCUAUGUGUUCCGGCUCUGAGACAGAAACUUCCGGAACAAAUUCCGGGGAAAUUUCAGUGAAAUUCCUGUGAAAAUCCCGAAAAAAUGGCCCAGAAACGAGGGAGGUGUCGGUGUUGUUAUUGGGGGAAAAUGGGGAAAAAUGGUGGGAAAACGGACAAAAAAGGCACCGAAAAUUCAGGAUUCUCUUCCAAAAUCAGUGUGGGAAGAUCCCGAAAUUCCAGAGAAAUUCCCAAGAAAUUCCCCCCAAAAAAUGGCCCAGAAACGAGGGAGGUGUUGUGUUUUUACUGGGAGAGAAUGGGAAAAAUGGGGAAAAAGGGGGUGGAAAAUUCAGAAUUCUGAGGUCCCAAAGCACAGAAAGAGAAGGGAGGGUGGGAACUCCAGAACUCUGGGAUGAGAACACAAAAUUCCAGUGAAAUUCCCAAAAAAAAGGGCCCAGAAAUGGUGGAGGUGUCGGUGCUGUUAUUGGGGGAAAAAAUGCGAAGAAAAAGGUUAAAAAAAAGGGGUGGAAAAUUCAAGAUUCUGCUCCCAAAAUCAGUGUGGGAAGAUCCCAGAAUUCCCAAGAAAUUCCAGUGAAAUUCCCAAAAAACCAGCCCCGAAAUGGCGGAGGUGUCAGUGUUGUUAUUGGGGGAAAAAAAGGUUAAAAAAAAGAGGUGGAAAAGUCAAGAUUCUGUUCCGAAAAUAAAAUGUGGGAAGAUCCCAGAAUUCCCAAGAAAUUCCAGAGAAUUUCCUGCAAAAUUCCCCCCAGAAAACGGCCCAGAAACAAGGGAGGUGUCGGUGCUGUUAUUGGGGGAAAAACGGGAAGAAAAAGGUAAAAAAAAGGGGUGGAAAAUUCAGGAUUCUGCUCCUAAAACAGUGUGGGAAGAGAAAAAACAGAAACCCAAAAUAUUUGGGGAAAAGAUCCC